ensembl:lncRNA
AUGCAAAAUAUAACAAGCCAUCAACAUUACCCUUCACAGAAGAUGUUCAGAUCCUCAAUCGUUUGCAAUACCCAACUCGAUGAGCCACUACAGAGGAAAGGACUGUUUGCGUGUUCAUGCAAGCGAGUGUGGAGCAAAGCACCCAGAGUACCUCAGGUCGACACAGCUCAGGAAACAUGUCGCCACACUCAAGUCCUUAAUUUGAAAAACAACGAACUCGAUAAAGUUGCAGAUUUCCUGGGUCACGACAUUCAUGUUCACCGGGAUUUCUACAGAUUACCAGUUCCCACAACACAACUGGCAAAGCUUUCCAAAUUGCUUUUAUCGAUGGAGAAAGGGAAUCUUUCCAGCAUGCAGCGGAAAUCACUGGAUGAAAUGGAAGUGGAAGAUGAAAUUGCAUUAAGCGACGCUGAAGACCAGGACAGUGGGUGUGAAUCCGUUGACGGUUGCACAGCAGGCAGAGCAUCAGAGGGUGAGACUAGCAAGCCUGUAAAUCCUGCAUCCGACUCUACAAUCACCAAGCAGGUCCAUGACUUUGAAGAUGCAGCAGGAAGCGUGUCAUCCACAGUAAAUGAGAACUACCCUCUCUCUGAAGGAAAAGAUGCUGUGUCCAGAAGAGGGACAAAGAGAGCGUGGUCUAAAGUUGAGGUUCAAGCGGUAAUGCGGCACUUCAAAGACCACAUUCGUAAAGGUCACCUGGCCACCAAGAACGAAUGCAGUCACUGCAAGUUGGUGGGAGGACCAGUCUUGGAACAAAAAACUGUGCAAAAUGUCACACACUUCGUCCGGAAUCGGAACAUCCGAAAAAAGACGGUCCCAGCUGAAAACAAACAUACGUUUUUGUUAUUUGUUCUACAUCCUUUUUUCCCACGGCAUGGGCAGUCUUUUAAUCUGUUUACAUGCAAAGGUCAUUCACCUCAUCAUAAUGUAAUAAUGCUCUAA